CGGUGGCGUGUUUGUGCUGGUUCGACAAAGCCAGAAAGCGGAGGCGAAGACUAGGGUUUUUAUUAGUGAUCUCGGUCCGAUGUUCUUCACGAUAGAGAUCCACUCGAGAUGGUAAAGAUGGAAUUCCAGCAUUGCUUGGGGUUACAGGGAUCCGCGUUUGAGCACCGUUGGCAACUUGACUCCAAUUUUUAGAAUGACCCGGUGAAAUUUUAACAUUGUCUUCAAUAUAAGAAAAUAUAAGAAAUCUAAUAUAUUACACGUUCAUGGGAAUGCAGAAGGAUCACAUUAGAAGGAGACUGGAUACACAUCAAUUUGACUCUAAUGGAAGUAGUGUGGGGACUAUGAAGAUACAAUGAACUGGAAUUCGUAAAACGUUUUCACCAAAGAAGGGUUCAAGUUUUAGCUGAAAUAUUGAAUGUGGAAUUCUUAAAAGGUUUUCACCAAAGAAGGGUUCAAGUUUUAGCUGAAUCUGGUGCUGAUCUGAUAGCAUUUGAUACAAUGCCAAAUACGCUAGAAGCACAGUUCACACAGGUUGAGGUUUUGUUCAUUUUCGGUUCAGUUUUUUUUCUACAGAAUAAUGAGUUGUGGGUUAAUUGUUAUUUUACGAGUCAAGUUGUAAACGAGUUUGGAUGGUGCUUGGAGUUUAUCGAAGUACGUGUGGAGAUGCUUGGCUUAUGGUCAAGCGGGUCAAACUAUCUAACC